rfam:Microgenomates (Roizmanbacteria) bacterium GW2011_GWA2_35_8 TR89_C0021, whole genome shotgun sequence.
GGGCCUAUAGUUUAACGGCAAAACGACACUAUGGCAUAGUGUAGGUCGGGGUUCAAUUCCCCGUAGGUCCA